CUACGGAGGGGGCAAGCGUUAUUCGGAAUUAUUGGGCGUAAAGGGCGCGCAGGCGGCCUGGCAAGUCAAAGGUGAAAUCCCUCGGCCCAACCGAGGAACUGCCUUUGAAACUGCCUGGCUUGAGGCCGGGAGAGGGUAGUGGAAUUCCCAGUGUAGCGGUGAAAUGCGUAGAUAUUGGGAGGAACACCAGUGGCGAAGGCGACUACCUGGACCGGUUCUGACGCUGAGGCGCGAAAGCGUGGGGAGCAAACAGGAUUAGAAACCCGAGUAGUCC
rnacentral:rRNA from 1 species